AAGCAUAUCAAUAAGCGGAGGAAAAGAAACCAACAGGGAUUGCCCUAGUAACGGCGAGUGAAGCGGCAACAGCUCAAAUUUGAAAUCUGGCUCUUUCAGAGUCCGAGUUGUAAUUUGCAGAGGGCGCUUUGGCUUUGGCAGCGGUCCAAGUUCCUUGGAACAGGACGUCACAGAGGGUGAGAAUCCCGUACGUGGUCGCUAGCUAUUGCCGUGUAAAGCCCCUUCGACGAGUCGAGUUGUUUGGGAAUGCAGCUCUAAAUGGGAGGUAAAUUUCUUCUAAAGCUAAAUAUUGGCCAGAGACCGAUAGCGCACAAGUAGAGUGAUCGAAAGAUGAAAAGCACUUUGGAAAGAGAGUCAAACAGCACGUGAAAUUGUUGAAAGGGAAGCGCUUGCAGCCAGACUUGCUUGCAGUUGCUCAUCCGGGCUUUUGCCCGGUGCACUCUUCUGCAGGCAGGCCAGCAUCAGUUUGGGCGGUGGGAUAAAGGUCUCUGUCAUGUACCUCUCUUCGGGGAGGCCUUAUAGGGGAGGCGACAUACCACCAGCCUAGACUGAGGUCCGCGCAUCUGCUAGGAUGCUGGCGUAAUGGCUGUAAGCGGCCCGUCUUGAAACACGGACCAAGGAGUCUAACAUCUAUGCGAGUGUUUGGGUGUCAAGCCCGAGCGCGUAAUGAAAGUGAACGGAGGUGGGAACCCGCAAGGGUGCACCAUCGACCGAUCCUGAAGUUUACGGAAGGAUUUGAGUAAGAGCAUGGCUGUUGGGACCCGAAAGAUGGUGAACUAUGCUUGAAUAGGGUGAAGCCAGAGGAAACUCUGGUGGAGGCUCGCAGCGGUUCUGACGUGCAAAUCGAUCGUCAAAUUUGGGCAUAGGGGCGAAAGACUAAUCGAACUAUCUAGUAGCU
rnacentral:rRNA from 1 species